rnacentral:rRNA from 1 species
CACAUUAGUUAGUUGGUGGGGUAAAGGCUUAACAAGACUAUGAUGUGUAGCCGGGCUGAGAGGUUGAACGGCCACAUUGGGACUGAGACACGGCCCAAACUCCUACGGGAGGCAGCAGUAGGGAAUUUUCGGCAAUGGAGGAAACUCUGACCGAGCAACGCCGCGUGAACGAUGAAGUAUUUCGGUACGUAAAGUUCUUUUAUUAGGGAAGAAUAAAUGAUGGAAAAAUCAUUCUGACGGUACCUAAUGAAUAAGCCCCGGCUAACUAUGUGCCAGCAGCCGCGGUAAUACAUAGGGGGCAAGCGUUAUCCGGAACUAUUGGGCGUAAAGGGUGCGUAGGCGGUUAAAUAAGUUUAUGGUCUAAGUUCAAUGCUCAACAUUGUGAUGCUAUAAAAACUGUUUAGCUAGAGUAAGAUAGAGGCAAGUGGAAUUCCAUGUGUAGUGGUAAAAUGCGUAAAUAUAUGGAGGAACACCAGUAGCGAAGGCGGCUUGCUGGGUCUUUACUGACGCUGAGGCACGAAAGCGUGGGGAGCAAACAGGAUUAGAUACCCUGGUAGUCCACGCCGUAAACGAUGAGUACUAAACGUUGGGUAAAACCAGUGUUGAAGUUAACACAUUAAGUACUCCGCCUGAGUAGUACGUACGCAAGUAUGAAACUUAAAGGAAUUGACGGGACUCCGCACAAGCGGUGGAUCAUGUUGUUUAAUUCGAAGGUACCCGAAAAACCUCACCAGGUCUUGACAUGCUUCUGCCAAGCUGUAGAAAUACAGUGGAGGUUAUCAGUUGCACAGGUGGUGCAUGGUUGUCGUCAGCUCGUGUCGUGAGAUGUUGGGUUAAGUCCCGCAACGAGCGCAACCCUUAUUGUUAGUUACCACCACGUAAUGGUGGGGACUUUAGCCAGACUGCCAGUGAUAAAUUGGAGGAAGGUGGGGACGACGUCAAAUCAUCAUGCCCCUUAUGACCUGGGCUACAAACGUGAUACAAUGGCUGUUACAAAG